rnacentral:rRNA from 1 species
UACGGAGGGUGCAAGCGUUGUUCGGAUUUAUUGGGUUUAAAGGGUGCGUAGGCGGCCUUAUAAGUCAGUGGUGAAAGCCUGCAGCUCAACUGUAGGACUGCCAUUGAAACUGUAAGGCUUGAGUAUUGAUGAGGUAGGCGGAAUUGAUAGUGUAGCGGUGAAAUGCAUAGAUAUUAUCAAGAACACCGAUUGCGAAGGCAGCUUACUAAGGAAUAACUGACGCUGAGGCACGAAAGCGUGGGGAUCAAACAGG